UAGGCCCUUGGUCUUUUGCAGCCAUUGGUCCCUGGAGUGAAAUAUCGGCUCUUCUUUCUGCUGCUUUCAGACUGGAAUUUAUAUCAUCAGUGCUCUUGAUUCCCAGGCCUGACGUCUCGGACUAGAACUACACAUUGGAUCUCCUGGGUCUCCGGCUUGCCAACUGCAGAUCUUGGAACUUCUCAGCCUCCAUAAUUGCAUGAGUCAAUUUCUUACUAUGUGUGUAUGUGUUGAAGAUGGAAAUUACUACUGUAGAACAUCCAAGAUCUGCAAUGACAACUAUGUCACUAUGAACUCCUCUGCCACGUGUCUGGAGACUUUUCUUUAACAUCAACCUGAGUGUGCAUCUUUAUAUCAGAAAUGCAAAAAUGGAAAAGAAAAAUGUGCACUAAAGGUGAGACAAUAUAAUUAUGUUGUUUAAGUGUUUUGGCCAAACAAUUCAGUGAAAAAAGGAAGCUUCAUGAUAGUAGAUUCAUUUUAGUUUCCCUCUUUAACAUGGUCCUUUAAGUCUUCAAUAUUAUAAUCACCAGUGUAAAGUUAAAUAUGAAUAUUUAAACGUAAAAUGUUGGCCAUAUCACCAGAACUUCUAGAAUCCAAAUAUCUAUGUAGAUCAAAGGAGGACUGCUUUGAUGAAGUGCUCUCUAAAAAC
rnacentral:lncRNA from 1 species